CGUAGGCCAGCAACGUACGCUGACACAGCUGUGAGCGCACGCAGUCUUCUUUCGCGAAACGCACCACGCCAAUCAUGUCGUCCUCCUGGAAACGGGCCAGCGCAUCGCCAAGGCCGGACUGGACAUGGGACGGCAAAUCGCACUGGGUAAUAUCACCAUUUACGAUCACCGUAACGUUUUCCCCGAGUCGGGUC
rnacentral:antisense_RNA from 1 species